ACUCCGACGUACAUCUUUCAAAAAAAAAAAAAAAAAAAUUACAGAAAAUAACGAUCUAUUUCCAUGCUUAUGGUAUAUAUUUAUCUUGCUGGAAGAAAUGGGGCAGACCCCUCCCCUCCGUCCAAGAGAUCUGGUAAUGACAUCAAUUACCGCUCGGAGGAAAAAAAACAUCCAUCCAUUCCAAUAAGAGCUUUACGUCCGGAGACAGCCAUACCCUGACGUAACCGCCGGCUGUCAAAAAUAAAAGCCAGCAGAAAACAGGGAUGCGUUGAAUAGACGGGGCUACGAUGGAGCUUAGAAGCAGGACCUGACCUUUGAGGAUUAAAGGCGCACAUUUUGAUGGAAUAGAAGAGUCUUCGGAUUGUUCUGUUUCCAGCACUUACAAAGUGCCCUCAGCCACGUUAAUUCCAGGAAAACAAGCAGAAUAAGAAAGAAAGAAAGAAAGAAAUAUUGAGGUGUUGCCUGCAGGCCCUCAUUACUCACGAAGCAGGCUGAGACAGCAAAACUGGAAGGGGUGGGAGAGACCUUAUUAAAACACCGGCUGCUUGCAACUGAACCUCAGUAUGGGGAAGAGAAUUGGUGAAGCUGCAGUGAAUCAGAGACAUUUAUUAUUGUUGUUGUUUGUUUGUUGUUGUUGUUGUUGGACUGACAGUCACCAACUGUCUUCAGACUGGAGUUGUCACUUUUGUCCACCUAUCGAGUCCUUUCCAAGAGGCAGGUGUUGAUAUUUGACGGUGUUAAAAAUCUCGCCGCAGGAUGAAAGCUGUUCCAAGUCAAACUGCCUUUUUUUUGCAAUUGACCGAUCGGGGAUUGUGUCAAUGCCGAUGUCAGGUUUCGAUGUCAUCUCAAAUAAAUUGCACUCCCAAACAAUUAA